rnacentral:rRNA from 1 species
AUUGAACGCUGGCGGCAGGCCUAACACAUGCAAGUCGAGCGGAUGAAGGGAGCUUGCUCCUGGAUUCAGCGGCGGACGGGUGAGUAAUGCAUAGGAAUCUGCCUGGUAGUGGGGGAUAACGUCAGGAAACGGGCGCUAAUACCGCAUACGUCCUGAGGGAGAAAGUGGGGGAUCUUCGGACCUAACGCUAUCUGAUGAGCCUAGGUCGGAUUAGCUAGUUGGUGGGGUAAAGGCCUACCAAGGCGACGAUCCGUAACUGGUCUGAGAGGAUGAUCAGUCACACUGGAACUGAGACACGGUCCAGACUCCUACGGGAGGCAGCAGUGGGGAAUAUUGGACAAUGGGCGAAAGCCUGAUCCAGCCAUGCCGCGUGUGUGAAGAAGGUCUUCGGAUUGUAAAGCACUUUUAGUUGGGAGGAAGGGCAGUAAGUUAAUACCUUGCUGUUUUGACGUUACCAACAGAAUAAGCACCGGCUAACUUCGUG